CACGUAGGGGGCAAGCGUUGUCCGGAUUUAUUGGGCGUAAAGAGCUCGUAGGUGGUUCGAUAAGUCGGGUGUGAAAACUCUGGGCUCAACUCAGAGACGCCACUCGAUACUGUCGUGACUUGAGUCUGGUAGGGGAGUGUGGAAUUCCCAGUGUAGCGGUGAAAUGCGCAGAUAUUGGGAGGAACACCAGUGGCGAAGGCGGCACUCUGGGCCAGUACUGACACUGAGGAGCGAAAGCGUGGGGAGCGAACAGG
rnacentral:rRNA from 1 species